rnacentral:rRNA from 1 species
GACGAACGCUGGCGGCGUGCCUAAUACAUGCAAGUCGAACGAGUGGCGGACGGGUGAGUAAUGUAUGGGGACCUGCCCGAUAGAGGGGGGUAACUACGGGAAACUGUGGCUAAUACUGCAUACUAUCGGAUGAACCCAUAUGGGAUUAGUGAGUAGGUGGGGUAAAGGCUCACCUAGGCGACGACCUCUGGCUGGUGUGAGGGGGUGAUCAGCCACACUGGGACUGGGACACUGCCCAGCCUCCUACGGGAGGCAGCAGUGGGGAAUAUUGCACCAUGGGAGCAAGCCUGAUGCAGCCAUGCCGCGUGUAUGAAGAAGGCCUUAGGGUUGUAAAGUUCUUUCAGCGGGGAGGCGUUACCCGCAGAAGAAGCACCGGCUAACUCCGUGCCAGCAGCCGCGGUAAUAC